UGGGGGUCUUAAGGCCAUCGGGCGGGGGGGGGGGUCAUCCGUGCUUCCCAGACUCGCUCUCCCCUGCACUCCUGCUCCCCGGCGCCCGCGGAGGAAACACUGAUCGCACCGCGCAGGCUGAGUACCUUUGGUGGCUCUGUACCCCGCUGGGAUCCCUACGUGACGUUCGAGAGCCAAGUGAUCAAGAGACAUGACGGACUUUAUGCCCCGAGUGGGCUCCAUUUUCUGGAUGACGACUUCUUCGCGAAGGAACUGGUACAAGAUUGGGAAGGAGCCACUCUCGGCUUUACAGAUUCACACACUGUUCCAGGAUCCCUUCCCCUGUCCCCGCAUUCUCCCUGUAUCCAUCCUGAUCCCCUCUGUUUCCCUUGGAGAGAACAGGGUCAGGAAGAGGAUGGGAGGCCUGUGAGUUUCCAGAGGCCAGGACUGGGGUCUGCCUGCUGAGUACUGGCCCAGUGCUGAAUGAAGAGUCUCCUUAGGCCGGGCUGGGUUAGGCAGCCAUGACUUCCCUAAGGGCCUUGAGUGCCCUGGUCAAGGAGUGGUGGUUUCGGGGGUCCUCCUCAUCCCCGACUACAUCUCUGGAGUGGCUACGAUGUUAUUACCCAUCUCUGUAUCCUACGAGGAUAUGUGUGUUGGUUAUUGUCAAAAAUUAACUGCUAAUUGGGAAAAGAUACUUCUGCAUCCCUGGGAGAAAGAGAGAUGGAGACAAACAGGGAGGGAGGGAGAGAGAACGAGGGAGGGAGGGAAGAGACGCUGCGGACACAUUGAAGGGCGUGACGGUCCUGGGCUGGACAGAGCACGAGGCCCACGACAGAUAGAGAGACACCCUUGCUCAGAGAUCUGGGAGACAGCAGAGACAUCAGGACGUCACUGGCUGCACCGUGUUCCUCCAAAAUGCCUGUGUGGAAGCCCUAACCCCAGAGGUGGCUGUAUUUGGAGACGGGGCCUUUGAGGAGGUAAUUCAAGUUAAAGGAGGCUAUAGGUGGGGCCCUAAUCAGGUCAGACCGGGGCUCUUAUGACAGCAGAGGAAAGAGGCCCAGGUAGGACUCGGCGAGAAGCUGGCCAGCUGCAGGAUGCAAAGAGCUCUCUUGAGACACCAACCUACUGCUCCUUGAUCUUGGACUCGUAGUCCCCAGGGCUGUGAGAGAAUGCACUUCUGCGUGCAGGCCAUGCAGCCUGAGCAGACCCACGCAGGUGACUUGGGGAGGAGGCAGGAAGCGGGUAAGGCAAGAGAUUGGUUGGGAGGCAGUACAAGGCCCGAAGAAGCCGGAGGGCUGGGCUCUAGUUGACCAGCAGGACAAUCAAGCACUGAUGUGCGGCUCCGCCUGGCUCCUGCCCCGUCCCCGGGUCCUGGCGGAUCAGAACCCGCUGACACUCACUCUGCACGCGUAGCUGGGAUUUCUGGCUCUGUUUGCAGACGCCGGAAGACCCUCUCUGGGCCUCGCACCAGUAAUACGGCGGGUCUCUGCUCCUCGUGGUGAGGGUCGGGAUUUUCAGAAAGCUUUCCGAGCCCGACUGCAGCAUGUGGUCGUCUUUGAAGAAGCGGAACCAGAGUUUGACGUCCGACCUCAGCGGAGGGAGCUGGGUCUUGCAGGUCAGGGUCACUGACUUCCCAGAGACGGUCGGUGAGAGGCUGGCUGUCAGCACGGGACGUGGAAACAGCUCUAGAGAAGGAUCACAACGGUCCCCAGAGCAGUGAGGCCCGGAACUGCUCUGGAGAGAAACACAGCCCGUCUGCAGCAGCCGCGGAAGGGAGCGUCCUUUCGGCAAGCCCGUCUCGCAGAUAACGAAGGCUUUACCUUGGACUUCGAUGUUGAUCGUGUUGGAAGAGUAGGAACAGCAGCCAUUCUUAAAUCCGGAACAGCGAUAGUCUCCGUUAUCUUUGAGACUUGCUUGCUCGAUGCGGAAGUCGGAACUCUCAUCAGAGACGCUCAGGACCUCGCCCCGCCUGUGCAGUGUCGUGGUAUCCAGAGUGAUUUCUGCGUUUGCUCGGCAUCUCAGAACCACAGAGUCGCCUUCAAACACGAAGGGGGGAGCCUGCAGGAUCAGAGUGAACACGUGUCCUGAGAAGACUCGGAAAGCAGAAAUAAAAGGUCAAGCUCACGUGGUCACUUGGGAGCGAGUCCUGGGUCUGGCAUCUGUACUGUCCGGAGUCACGGACCUCCAGGGUGUUGCCUGGGGUUUCGCGUAGUAUUCUACCCUCGAGGUACCAAAGGAACCGUUUUAUUUUCUCUGGAGCGUGGAAGUGCAAUACGUGACAAGUCAGGGUCACUGUCUCUCCUGUGAAGACGACGGUCCAUGGAGGAUGGAGGGAAAUCACGGGUUUGGCCGCGGCUUCUGAGGAAGAGAGAGACAGAGCCUGAGAUGGGGACGCCUGUGGUCCCCGCCGCGGUCGUCUGUGUGGGACGGACCCGAGGACCAGGCCUGGGGGGAUCCCCAGGAAAGCCCUCUGGUUGGGUCAGUGGUUGCUCACGGCUGUUUGUGGAUUGGAGCCCCCAGGGGGUGGCAAUGAGAGAGAUGAUUUCAAGCCGACAGAAUAAGCAGCGGGGUUCGCCGCCGAAUGUCAGUGGCAUCAAUGGCCAGUUGGCUUUUCACGGGCGCUAGAGAAGGCCACCCCUGCCCUCCUACUUCACGUCCACCGACUCAUGGGGACCUCUCAGGGAGCUGUGCGCAUCACAGGUGUGCACUUUCUCUCACGGGAUAAAUCCUAUUUUCUGAAGGUUUUGGCACUGAGUAAAGCCUGAGAGAUUAACUUGUCUAACACCUUCGUGUCACAGAUGAUGUUUCAGAUGCCCAGAGACUCUUGUCACAGCUAAUUGUGGCAGAGCCAGGAACGGACAGGUCGUUUGCUGGAAUCCAGAAGUGAGCCAGACAAGGAUGACAUCCCGGGGCAGCUGAUUUGGGGCAAGGAGGGCGGUUGUAUUGCCGUUCGCGAAUCCUCAAAUAUUCAGGACAUUCUCUGACCCAGGGGAAUGGUGGUGGGAGUUAGAACUAAGAAAAUGUGUGACACAGAUAAUAUGUCUUCUCCCCCAAUUCCUAUUUUGGGUGCAUUUCUUCUUUUUGAGGGCCUAGUUGCUGGAUGUUCUUCUGGAGGAGGAACAUUUCCUGCAGGGUUUUACUUCUAAAUGUGUAGGGAACGUAGUAUUCCUGCUCGCGUCUUCACAGUGCGAUGCUUACAGAGACGUUUUUUGAGCUUGCUGAUGGGAGAAAACCUUAUCCCAAGCCCUGCACGUUUGCCGUGGAGUUGAGGAUGUCCUGCGUGGUCAAGUGGGUUCCAUCUGCGGUAGGGUUAAGUUCAGGGUCUACCGAAGGCCAGGAGCCGCUUGUGCAUUUCUUAGUUCUUCCAGGGAGAGGCCGGGGGGGGGGUGGGGUGGGGUGGCGUGUGGCUGUCCUGGCCCUUGGGUGAUGCCAGUAGAGCACGUGACACUUUCACAUCCCUUCUGGUCUCGGCGAGAACAGGAGCUAUUGGAGACCCUCAGACAGACAUUGCAAGCACCUCGUGUUUUUUAGGGAGACAUUCUUAUCCAGGGACACCCGAAGAGCAAAAGAGACGCGAACUCACCAGAUUUUCCACUGACAGGAGCUGCAAAAUAAAUAAAUUAGCCAGAGAUGAACACAGAGCAAGGAUUCUUCGGUUUUUCAAAAGUCAUGGCUGUUGUUUUCUGUUCAUUUUAUUAUUUCUUUCAAUAGAAAUUCAUUUAAAAAACUUAA